rnacentral:rRNA from 1 species
GCGGACGGGUGAGUAAUGCCUAGGAAUCUGCCUGAUAGUGGGGGACAACGUUUCGAAAGGAGCGCUAAUACCGCAUACGUCCUACGGGAGAAAGCAGGGGACCUUCGGGCCUUGCGCUAUCAGAUGAGCCUAGGUCGGAUUAGCUAGUUGGUGAGGUAAUGGCUCACCAAGGCGACGAUCCGUAACUGGUCUGAGAGGAUGAUCAGUCACACUGGAACUGAGACACGGUCCAGACCCCUACGGGAGGCAGCAGUGGGGAAUAUUGGACAAUGGGCGAAAGCCUGAUCCAGCCAUGCCGCGUGUGUGAAGAAGGUCUUCGGAUUGUAAAGCACUUUAAGUUGGGAGGAAGGGUUGUAGAUUAAUACUCUGCAAUUUUGACGUUACCGACAGAAUAAGCACCGGCUAACUCUGUGCCAGCAGCCGCGGUAAUACAGAGGGUGCAAGCGUUAAUCGGAAUUACUGGGCGUAAAGCGCGCGUAGGUGGUUUGUUAAGUUGGAUGUGAAAUCCCCGGGCUCAACCUGGGAACUGCAUCCAAAACUGGCAAGCUAGAGUAUGGUAGAGGGUGGUGGAAUUUCCUGUGUAGCGGUGAAAUGCGUAGAUAUAGGAAGGAACACCAGUGGCGAAGGCGACCACCUGGACUGAUACUGACACUGAGGUGCGAAAGCGUGGGGAGCAAACAGGAUUAGAUACCCUGGUAGUCCACGCCGUANACGAUGUCAACUAGCCGUUGGGAGCCUUGAGCUCUUAGUGGCGCAGCUAACGCAUUAAGUUGACCGCCUGGGGAGUACGGCCGCAAGGUUAAAACUCAAAUGAAUUGACGGGGGCCCGCAC